AUGACACUUCUCAGCCCCAUCUCAGCAUCCAUGGAGCAGGUGCAUCUGAGCACAAGCCUGGUGGACCAGACUACAAGCCUAAGACGAGGGCACAGGAAGCCUGGGUAUUGCCCACAAACACUCCAUCCAGUUCUUCCAUGGCCUGCCUUGAGGUCUACCAAGCAUUUAAAAGUCACCUUACCUGCCUGGGUGCAGCUGCAAGAAGAAAAAAUAAUGCUGUUCGUGGAGUCCCUGCUAUGGCACAACAGGUUCAAUGGUAUCAAUGCAGCACCAGGACACAGGUUCGAUUCCCAGCCCAACACAGUGGGUCAUAUAUCUGGUGUCAUCAUAGCUGCAGCCUAAGUUACAUCUGUGGCUUGGAUCUGAUCCCUGGCCUAGGAACUCCAACAUAGUUCAUAGAGUGGCCCCCAAAACAAACAAACAAACAAACAAAACAAAAAGAAAAGAAAAAGAAUGCUGUUAGUUAUAGUUCAUGUGAGAACUCCAAAUGUUUCUUCUUUUUCAAAUUAAAAAAAAAUUUCUUUAUUUUAGGUUCAUUACAUUUAAUUGUGAAUUUUAGAAGAAGUGGAUUAAUUUUGCCUGAAAAAAGUCCUGCUGAGCUUUUGACUAGGAUUAUGUUCAGUCUCUAAAGUGAUUUGAAGAGAACUGACAUCUUGGCAGUACGACAGGCUUCCAACCUAUGAACAUUUAAUCUUUUCAUUUAUUUACGGCUUUUUCAAAUUCUCUCAGAAAUUUGGGGGGUGAAGAACACACCAUUAAGAAUGCUAUUUGCAUUGUAUCUCAGAGGGUUAACAACCCAGCUAGUAUCCAUGAGGCCACAGGUUCCAUCCCUGGCCUUGCUCUGGGUUAAGGAUCCUGUGUUGCUGUCACCUGUGGUGUAGGUCUCAGACCUGGCUCAGACCCUGCAUUGCUAUGGCUGUGGUGUAGGUCAGCAGCUGCAGUUCCCAUUUGACCCUAGUCUAGGAACUUCCAUAUGCCCUGGCUGUGGCCCUAAAAAGACAAAAGAAAAAAAUUCUUUGUUUUAUAUAUUUUAUGUAGGUGACCUAUUGGGUGGAGAGAGUGUUUCUUACUUUUUGAGCAAACUUUUAGAUUAAAAGUAAAUAAUGAAUUUCAACAAUUUUUUUUUGCAAAUAGCGAGGUUAUCCUUUUUUCUUUUUCAAUUGUUUAAUAUGACAUUGAUUUUGAAUGUUAACUUACAUCCUUGGAAUGAUCCUCCUUCAUCAUGAUAUGUUAUCUUUAUUACACAGCUUAAAUACAGCUUGCUAAAUAUGCAUUUAGAAUUUCUGACUCUAUGAUGAAUAUUGGUCUGUAGCUUUCUGUUCUUGUGGUAUUAAUUUGACCGACAGUGUAUUUCAUUUUUCCAGUGGUAUGUGACAGCAUUUACUGUUGUUGUCAUAUGUUUUACUUUUGCAUGUACAUUAUAAACUUCCCAUUACACUCCUGUCAUUUUUGAGUAAACCAAUUAUUUUUAAAGGUAUUAAAAUAAGAACAAAUAGAUGGCUUUAUCAAGGAGCUACCACGGUGUUCUUCACUCUUGUUUAAAUGCAGAAUGUAAAUGCAUUUUCCUUCUGCCUGAAGAAAUUCUUUGGACAUUCAUUAUAGUGCUGGUGUGCUGGUCAUGAAUCCUUGCAAGUUUUGUAUAUCUGAAAAUGCAUUUUCUUCACCGUUGCUUGAUUUAAAGAUAUUUUUGCUAGGUAUAGAACUCUAUGAGACGAUUUUUGUUUUCCUUUUGUUUGUUUGUUUUUAAGUACUUUAAAUAUGUUUGUUACUGAGAAGAAAUCUAAAGUUAUUUUUGUCUCUCCAUACAAAAUGAUUUUCUUUUCUUCUGUUACUUGUAAAAACUUUAUAUCUAUCAUUUGUUUUGAGCAAUUUCAUUAUGAUGUGCCUUGGGAAAUUUUUUCUCAUCUUUUACACUUAGAAUUUGUUGAGAUUGUUGCAUCUAUAGCCUUAUAGCUUUUUUUUUUAAAGUCUUGAAAAUUUCUGGCCAUUAUUCAUUCAAAUUAUUUUUCAGUCCUCUUCUCUUUCCUCUCCUUUGGCAAUUCCAAUCACCCAUGUAUUAAGAUAUUUGAUAUGGUACUAUAGUUCAUUUCUGCUCUUUUUUCUCUGUGUAUGCAGUUGACCUUUGAAGAACUUAAGGGGUUAGGGACAGUUACAUUUGGAAUAGUCCCCUGUAACUUUAUAGUUUGCCCUAAAUACCCAUGGUUUGCCUCUGCAGAUGCAACCAACCACAGACCAUAUAGUACUCCAGUAUUUAUUUUUAAAAAUCUUGGGGUGUUCCCAUUGUGGCUCAGUGGAAACAAGCCCGACUAGUAUCCAUGAGGAUGUGAGUUUGAUCCCUGGCCUUGCUCAGUGGGUUGAGGAUCUGGCAUUUCCAUGAGCUGUGGUAUAGGUCACAGGCACAGCUUGGAUCCCACCUUGCUGUGGCUGUGAUGUAGGCUGGCAGCUGCAGCUCCAAUUUGACCCCUGGCCUGGGUGUGGCCCUUAAAAAAGCAAAAAAAAAAAAAUCUUGGCAUUAGCAUAUUCACACUGAGGUCUAUGGAAUGACUGGCCAGUGGAGACCUGUGGUCUAUCACAGAGAACUCUACCCAAUAUGCUGUGAUCAUCUAUGUGGGAAAAGAAUCUGAAAGAGAAUGGAUCAGUCCCUUGGUUUUACAGCAGAAAGUAUCACCACCUUGUAAAUCAACUCUACCUCAAUAAAACUCAAAUAAAAAAAAAAGUAAAAGAAAAA
rnacentral:lncRNA from 1 species